GUGCUUGCUUCGGCAGCACAUAUACUAAAAUUGGAACAGUACACAGAUCAGCACAGUCCUUGUGCAGUGGGGACAGGCAAACUUGUGAAGUGUUCUAUGUUUGU